ensembl:snRNA U6 U6 spliceosomal RNA
AGGCUCACUUCAGCAGCACAUAUACUAAAAUUGGAGCAAUACAGAGAUUACACAGCCCCUGUGCAAGGAUGACACAAAUUUGUGAAGCAUUCCAUAUAAAA